UCCAUUAUCUCUUUGGUGAGAUCAUAUAUGGAGGCCACAUCACAGAUGACUGGGAUCGCAAACUGUGUCGGAUGUAUUUAGAAGAAUUCAUGAAUCCAUCUCUGCUAGCUGCCAUGUCAGGAACACAUGCAUGCAGUGAAAAACCGAGACUUCCAGCCAACAGCCAUGUGAGUGAGCCAUCUUGGAAGUGGAUCCUCCAGCCCCAGUCAAGCCUUCAGAUAACUGCAGCUUUGGCCAACAUCUUGACUGCAACUUCUUGAGAGACCCUGAGCAAGAAUCACACCAUGAAGAUGUUCCUAGUUUUCUGAUUCUCAGAAACUAGACAGGGUUUCAGCAUGUUGGCUAGGCUGGUCUCGAACUCCUGACCUCAAGUGAUCCACCUGCCUCAACCUCCCAAAGUGCUGGGAUUACAGAUGUGAGCC